CUUGUACUCCCUCCGUCCGAAAAUACUUGUCAUCAAAAUGGAUAAAAAGAGAUGUAUCUAGAACUAAAAUAUGUCUAGAUACAUCCCCUUUUAUCCAUUUUCAUGACAAGUAUUUCCGGAUGGAGGGAGUACACA
rnacentral:pre_miRNA from 1 species